rnacentral:rRNA from 1 species
CCCCUAGAUGUUCUGGGCCGCACGCGCGCUACACUGAACAGUUCAACAAGUCUUAACCUUGGCCGAUAGGUCUGGGUAAUCUUUGAACGCUGUUCGUGAUUGGGAUAGACCUUUGCAAUUAUGGGUCUUCAACGAGGAAUUCCUAGUAAACGCAAGUCAUCAGCUUGCAUUGUUUACGUCCCUGCCCUUUGUACACACCGCCCGUCGCACCUACCGAUUGAAUGGUCCGGUGAAAUCUCGGGACGGCGGCUUGGUCGCUUGCGUCCGACUGCUGAAACUUGAUUAAACCAUAUCAUUUAGAGGAAGGUGAANUCGUANCA